CCCUACCGCCCGCGGGGAGUGCGCCGGAAGCGGCGGCCCAUCCGGGCUUUUGCGCGCGUGCGCGCGCGUCCGGCUCCACCGCCUCGACCAAUUGGGGACCGGGUUGGCGGCGCGGCCUUGUGGCGGGUCUACAGGUGGGGAUCCGGCGCUGCCCCAACGGAACUCCAGCUCGGGCUAGUUGGCGCAGCGCCCGCUCCCCUCCCCGUUUGGCGCGGGACGCUGGGAAGACUCUUUUAGUUGUGCUGUUUUUCUAUUUCAUGGGUUAUUCCUCCCGACUGCAGUGGAAACUAGGCAAAUGCGUAUCUAAGUGUCGCUGCCACCAAAAAGAAACCAAGAUUAACAGACGUAUAUUUUAAGUCCACGCCGGCAGCCGCUGGAGGUGUGGCAAGUGAUAUUGGUGCAGUCUCAUGAAGAACUGAGUUGGUUCAAGCCAGCAAGCAGACUUUGCAGACCAGCUUCACAGGCCAGAAUGUGAUAAGUCUGUGAACAAAUACUUCUUUUUUUUUUUUUUUUAAAUAAAAUUGUAUCCUUUCCUUCCACUCCCUAUCUACUAGAUCAGAAUCUUCUUAAGCAUUGUUAAAACCAAACUCUGAAGAAGGAGAGAUAUCUGAAAUAAAAGGUUUUAUUGAGCCAUUACAGACGCUAGCCAAAAAGAAAGGACCAGUCCUGGGACAAGCUCCCUCAGCCACCCACAGCUAGGCCAGGUAGUGGAGCCAGAAUUAGUGUAGAUUAGUUAAAUGGAGUCAGGUGGGAUCAAGGAAGCCAAUUUUGAGUGAGUCCGAAAUUGGAGACUGUUCCCUGAGGAAUUGAAAUAUUAAUUCCUUUAGAGCCCUUCCUCCAACUUUAUCAAGAACCUGCCCUAGCUCCCUGUUGCUAAGGUAACCUAUCCCAGGAGUUGCCCUUCUCUACAGGGAGCUAUAAGGUUGUUAAUUAACGUGUCUUGGGCUGCUCCAUCCUGCCCUUCCUCCUUCAGCCCACCUGUUUCCCACCUUUUGACCAUCCCACAGAGCAUUUUCUAGGCCUAGUCACAUAUGCAGAAAGGAGAAAGAUGAAGAGAGCAGAACAAAGGAAGCCUAGGACUUAUAAAAAGGGCAGAACACCUCACUUCAUGAGAUACCUGAAUACCAGCUAUGGCCUCCUUCCCUCUCCUGGGAGAAGUCUGUUACCCCUAUUAAAUAAACCCGGCUUUAUAUGCUUGCCUCAGCAUGCUUCUCUAAUGUUCAACUUCAACAUGCAAGGAAUCAGAAUUCAUUGCUGAUAACCAAUGGUAUCAGUAGCAUUCGGAAAAAUGUCAGCUGAAUCCAAGAAUCCAGAGUACUUUUAUAAUGAAAAUCUGAGAAAAACAGGCAUAAGUUAUUUACAUUGCAUCUACAUUGACUAUGGAUAAGAGGAACAGGAUUGCGUAAAGCAGGGGACAGUCUACCAGGAGAAGCGGGCUUGCUUCUGGAUGGAUUGGGGCUGCAGGAAGGAUGCUGUAGCAUCUAGGGGGUUGCCAAAGGAUUUGAGUAAAACAAGGGGGUUGAGGUUUGUUUGAGAUGGAGUCUUAGUAUAUUGCUUAGGCCGGUCUCCAACUCAUGGUUUAACCAACCCUCCUGUCUUAGCCUCCUGAGUUGCUGAAACUAUAGGCAUAAGCCAUCCCACCCAGCUGAGUUAAGUAAAAAACUAAAGAAUGGAGAGCUGGGGGUGCAGUUCAGUGGUAGAACAUAUGCUUAUCAUGUGGGUUCAAUCUCCAGCAAUUAAAAAAAAAAAAAUCUCAAAGUCAAAAACUUAAAUCCAGCAAAGUGGCAUGUGCAGCAUCUCACUGGGAGGCUGAUGAGGGAGGAUUGCUUGUGCCUAGUUCAAGACUAGUCUGGGCAACAUAAAGACAUCCCAUCUCAGAAGAAAACAGAGAGAAAGAAUGUAAAAUGGUCUUCAGGGUCUGUAAAUUUUUUCCGAUUAAAUUUCCUCCAUCUCCUCCUUUCUAUCUCCUUCCAGCUUUGUAAUUAAACUUAGAAUAUCUCAGAAUUUUUUUCCUGAACAGCCAAGUCAUCACUCGAUUUAAUUGACCACAUUAUUAACUUCAGAGGUUUAGUGUGGCUUAUAAAGAUAUCAUCUUUUGUUGGGCAAGGUGGCACAUGCCUGUAAUCCCAGCAGGUCAGGAGACUGAGACAGGGGGAUCUCAGGUUCAAAGCCAGCCUCAGAAAGUUAAUGAGGCUCUGUGUCUAAAUAAAAUACAAAAAAGAGAUGGGGAUGUGGCUUAGUGGUUGAGUGCCCCUGGGUUCAAUCCCCAGUACCAAAACAAACAAACAAAACAGAGAUCUUUAUCAGAUCAACUAUAGUGAGAUUUCUGUUUAUGAGACCCAGUGCUUGACACUGGUGAAAGAAAAUCUCAAGCAGGGGAGAAAAUAUAUAAGCAUAAGAAGAUAAGUGAUCAUAUUAAGUACCAAGUGAAUAAACUAGUAUGCAUAGCCAUAAGAGUUCAAAGACAAGGCUAGGGAUGUAGUUUAGUGGUAGAGCACUUUGUCUUGUGUGCACAAGGGUCUAUCUUCAUUUGGUCCUUAGCACCACAAAAAGAGUUGGAAGGCAAAAUUCUUAGAAAAUGCUGGGGGCAGUUUACAAAGACCUCAGUGACCAUCCACACAUAUUUUAUGCCUUAAAGAAAGACUUAAAAAUGGAGCAGAAUAUUCCAGGGUACAAGAAAAAUUCUAUCAAAAAAAGCUGGAAGCAAAGAUACAAGAAGACUGUUUGAGAGACAAUAAACAGAUCAAUUUGACUUGCAUAUGAGUAAAAAAAAAAAGUCCUAAGAAUCUUGAGUCUCCUUAAAUGUCAGGCAAGAGAAUCUGGGCUUUGAACCAAAUAGUGUGCAGAGUUUGAUAGCAUAUAAGCAGGUGAUUUGUUUCAAACUGUCUUAACAGGACCACUUAGAGCAGAUUUAAACCAGGCCAGCCUCUUUCUGGGCUAACUUUUCCCCUUCUUGUUGGCCCUGUUUUCAAAAAAUUCUCUUGGCAGAAUUAUUAGAGCAGAAACUAAGGGCAGAAAUUAUAGAAUCUGUCCUUUUUCUAAUAGAACCAGGAAAGAGGAGGCAAAAGUGAAUAAAAUGGUAAGAUUUAAGGUGUUAGAGAAAGAUGAAAUAAGGGUUUAAUCUUUCAAGGACUUGGUAGUCAACAUUUACCAUGUGUACUAUGGGAAUUGAAAAUAUGCCACUCCCAAUUAUACUUCUUUGGCAUAUUUUGAGAUGGAUUUUAGAGGAAGGGCAGACACAGGAAUAACUAUGCAAAGUUGUUCCUUUGGAAAAAAAAAAUUUACGCCUAUCUACAUGAAUAAAGUAUAAAGUUUGUGGCAAACAGUGGCAUUCUCUGAGACCUCCUUAUCUGCCUAAAGGUGACCUAAGGAAGCUCAUUUCACAGGAUAGGAGACUAGAGAUCCAAAACCCUGCCCAGAUGGAGAUUGCUACAGGCUGUCACCUAUUCUUUUGAAUGCAGUUCUGAGAUUACCAGAGAGUCAUCUUUAUCUGCAUGAUACAACAAACUUUUAUUCAUUGUACAUUCUUCCCCUCACCCUCCCAUAAGCUGUAUCUGUCUGUUCCCAGAAUUCCCAAGCAUCUAUUCCUCUCUGUAGCUCAGGAUAUUUUAUAAGCUUCAAUCAUUUGAUCUUUCUUUGAGUCUUAUAUUUCAUGAGGCUCCCAUGCACAUGCAUGUAAUAAAUAAUACACAUCUUUUCCUGGCAA